rnacentral:rRNA from 4 species
AACUUUCAGCAACGGAUCUCUUGGCUCUCGCAUCGAUGAAGAACGCAGCGAAAUGCGAUAAGUAAUGUGAAUUGCAGAAUUCAGUGAAUCAUCGAAUCUUUGAACGCA